GAUGAACGCUGGCGGCGUGCCUAAUACAUGCAAGUCGAGCGAAUGGAUUAAGAGCUUGCUCUUAUGAAGUUAGCGGCGGACGGGUGAGUAACACGUGGGUAACCUGCCCAUAAGACUGGGAUAACUCCGGGAAACCGGGGCUAAUACCGGAUAACAUUUUGAACCGCAUGGUUCGAAAUUGAACGGCGGCUUCGGCUGUCACUUAUGGAUGGACCCGCGUAGCAUUAGCAAGUUUGUGAGGUAACGGCUCACCAAGGCAACGAUGCGUAGCCGACCUGAGAGGGUGAUCAGCCACACUGGGACUGAGACACGGCCCAGACUCCUACGGGAGGCAGCAGUAGGGAAUCUUCCGCAAUGGACGAAAGUCUGACGGAGCAACGCCGCGUGAGUGAUGAAGGCUUUCGGGUCGUAAAACUCUGUUGUUAGGGAAGAACAAGUGCUAGUUGAAUAAGCUGGCACCUUGACGGUACCUAACCAGAAAGCCACGGCUAACUACGUGCCAGCCGCCGCAGUAA
rnacentral:rRNA from 1 species